rnacentral:lncRNA from 1 species
UGUGUGGGACUUAUGAUCAGAGAAUCCUGAUUCUCGAUCACAGAGUCCCAGACACGUAGGACUCAUAGUCCACGAGCAUUAGGACUCUUCAUCGCCAUCAGAUCAGAUAGGAACCUCUAAUGUGUGUGACCCCGCAGGUUCGAACCUAAGCCGGUAGCACAGGAACCAAUUUCUGUACUAAUCGAAGUGACCAUCUAGCAAUGGUACCCGAUGAUCGGAUAGGUCGA